rnacentral:lncRNA from 1 species
GCGGCUCCGGGCGCGCGGCCGUGCGCACGCGCGCCGGCGAGUGUGAGUGUGUGUGUGAGUGUGCGCGCGCGCGCCCACGGGGAGGGGGGGAAGAGGCCGAGAGAUGCUCGUAGGGACCGAGGCAAAAUUCUCCUGCCUCGGGAAUCCGUAAGCCGGGGAAGGAGGCUCGAACGCGCGUCUCGCCGCGGGGAGGAGCUGCCCGCCCGGCGACGCCGAGGAGGAGGAGGGCUGCCGCGCCGGGCGCGCAGGUUCCGGAUCCGAGCGGCGCCGAACCGAGCGGGACGCGCAGCCACGGACGCAGCGGAGGCGGCGCCCACAGCCCACGAAACAACAAAAGCUUUCUAACUCUGAAGACUGGUAAAUUUAGGCUGUGAGACGUACCAUGAAUUCGAAAAUCAACUCCUCAUGCCGGGAGCCGAUUGCCCCAAAUUCUUUCAAGUGAGAAGACAGGGACCGUUAGCUGAAAUGCCGCUGUUGAGUUUAGUGGUGUGAGCGCGCAUAAGGAUACAGGUAAUUUCCCCCAUAAUUAGGUUGCAGAUCACUUCGUGCAUUAGAGUUUUAAAUGAUA